rnacentral:rRNA from 1 species
AGUGAACGCUGGCGGUAGGCCUAACACAUGCAAGUCGAACGGCAGCACAGUAAGAGCUUGCUCUUACGGGUGGCGAGUGGCGGACGGGUGAGGAAUACAUCGGAAUCUACUUUUUCGUGGGGGAUAACGUAGGGAAACUUACGCUAAUACCGCAUACGACCUACGGGUGAAAGCAGGGGAUCUUCGGACCUUGCGCGAUUGAAUGAGCCGAUGUCGGAUUAGCUAGUUGGCGGGGUAAAGGCCCACCAAGGCGACGAUCCGUAGCUGGUCUGAGAGGAUGAUCAGCCACACUGGAACUGAGACACGGUCCAGACUCCUACGGGAGGCAGCAGUGGGGAAUAUUGGACAAGGGGCGCAAGCCUGAUCCAGCCAUACCGCGUGGGUGAAGAAGGCCUUCGGGUUGUAAAGCCCUUUUGUGGGGAAAGAAAAGCAGAAGGUUAAUACCCCGCUGUUCUGACGGUACCCAAAGAAUAAGCACCGGCUAACUUCGUG